CUACGGGUGGCAGCAGUGGGGAAUAUUGCACAAUGGGCGCAAGCCUGAUACAGCCAUGCCGCGUGUAUGAAGAAGGCCUUCGGGUUGUAAAGUACUUUCAGCGGGGAGGAAGGGAGUAAAGUUAAUACCUUUGCUCAUUGACGUUACCCGCAGAAGAAGCACCGGCUAACUCCGUGCCAGCAGCCGCGGUAAUACGGAGGGUGCAAGCGUUAAUCGGAAUUACUGGGCGUAAAGCGCACGCAGGCGGUUUGUUAAGUCAGAUGUGAAAUCCCCGGGCUCAACCUGGGAACGGCAUCUGAUACUGGCAAGCUUGAGUCUCGUAGAGGGGGGUAGAAUUCCAGGUGUAGCGGUGAAAUGCGUAGAGAUCUGGAGGAAUACCGGUGGCGAAGGCGGCCCCCUGGACGAAGACUGACGCUCAGGUGCGAAAGCGUGGGGAGCAAACAGGAUUAGAUACCCUAGUAGUC
rnacentral:rRNA from 1 species